rnacentral:rRNA from 1 species
GAUGAACGCUGGCGGCGUGCCUAAUACAUGCAAGUCGAGCGAACGGACGAGAAGCUUGCUUCUCUGAUGUUAGCGGCGGACGGGUGAGUAACACGUGGAUAACCUACCUAUAAGACUGGGAUAACUUCGGGAAACCGGAGCUAAUACCGGAUAAUAUUUUGAACCGCAUGGUUCAAAAGUGAAAGACGGUCUUGCUGUCACUUAUAGAUGGGUCCGCGCUGCAUUAGCUAGUUGGUAAGGUAACGGCUUACCAAGGCAACGAUGCAUAGCCGACCUGAGAGGGUGAUCGGCCACACUGGAACUGAGACACGGUCCAGACUCCUACGGGAGGCAGCAGUAGGGAAUCUUCCGCAAUGAGCGAAAGCCUGACGGAGCAACGCCGCGUGAGUGAUGAAGGUCUUCGGAUCGUAAAACUCUGUUAUUAGGGAAGAACAUAUGUGUAAGUAACUGUGCACAUCUUGACGGUACCUAAUCAGAAAGCCACGGCUAACUACGUG